UACGUAGGGUGCGAGCGUUGCCCGGAUUUAUUGGGCGUAAAGGGCGCGUAGGCGGCCACGCACGUCCGUUGUGAAAUCGCCCGGCUCAACUGGGCGGGGUCAGCGGAUACGGUGUGGCUCGAGGACGGUAGAGGGGGGUGGAAUUCCCGGUGUAGUGGUGAAAUGCGUAGAGAUCGGGAGGAACACCUGUGGCGAAGGCGGCCCCCUGGGCCGGCCCUGACACUGAGACGCGAAGGCGUGGGGAGCGAACGGG
rnacentral:rRNA from 1 species